rnacentral:rRNA from 1 species
UACGUAGGGGGGCAAGCGUUGUCCGGAUUUAUUGGGCGUAAAGGGCGCGUAGGCGGCUCUGCACGUCCGUUGUGAAAUCGCCCGGCUCAACUGGGCGGGGUCAGCGGAUACGGCGGAGCUUGAGCAAGCUAGGGGGCAAUGGAAUUCCCGGUGUAGUGGUGGAAUGCGUAGAGUAUCGGGAGGAAUCACCAGUGGCGAAGGCGGCCUUCUCGGACCAAUACUGACGCUCAUGCACGAAAGCGUGGGGAGCAAACAGG